GAUGAACGCUGGCGGCGUGCUUAACACAUGCAAGUCGAACGGUGAACGAGGGAGCUUGCUCCCUCCGGAUCAGUGGCGAACGGGUGAGUAACACGUGAGCAAUCUGCCCUGGACUCUGGGAUACGCGUUGGAAACGACGUCUAAUACCGGAUACGAGGCGUGGGGGCAUCCCCAACGCCUGGAAAGAACUUCGGUCCAGGAUGAGCUCGCGGCCUAUCAGGUAGUUGGUGAGGUAAUGGCUCACCAAGCCUACGACGGGUAGCCGGCCUGAGAGGGGGACCGGCCACACUGGGACUGAGACACGGCCCAGACUCCUACGGGAGGCAGGAGUGGGGAAUAUUGCACAAUGGGCGAAAGCCUGAUGCAGCAACGCCGCGGGAGGGACGACGGCCUUCGGGUUGUAAACCUCUUUUAGCAGGGAAGAAGCGAAAGUGACGGUACCUGCAGAAAAAGCACCGGCUAACUACGUGCCAGCAGCCGCGGUAAGAC
rnacentral:rRNA from 1 species